GGUGAUUCUUAUUUGGAACUGCAAACAAAAAGGGCAAAGAAUACUUGAAGGCUGUAGGAAGAACCUGAAAAUCCAAAAAGGAUUUCUAUAGAAGACAGAAAUGAAGUUAUCUGGAAGUCAGGUUUUUUCUUAUUGUUCAGUUGCUAAGUCAUGUCUGACUCGGUGAUCCCAUGGACUGUAUCCUGCCAGGCUUCUCUGUCCAUGGAAUCCUCCAGGCUUCUCUGUCCAUGAGAUUUCCCAGGCAAGAAUACUGGAGUGGGCUGCCAUUUCCUUCUCCAGGCAGUCUUCCUGACCCAGGGAUCAAGCUCGUGUUUCCUGGUCUCCUAAAUUGCAGACCCACACCCACCCAUUUGUCCUGUUCACCAGCCAUUAAACGGCCUGCUGCUACCUGUCCCGUACUGCCUGGCAGCUGUUAUAUCCCUGCCAGACUGAGCUCUCGAAAGUCACUCUUAAAUUCACCUGCCAGGCUCAGUCUGGGCCCUUGCCCAGCCUGAGGAGAAGGAAUGGACAGCGGUUAGAUGGCCUGCCACACGCUAUCAGUGGUAUCAAGUUCCCCGUAUGUCUUGGUGCAACCUGAAAUACCCACACCAAGCUUUUAUGCCUUGAACAAAUGUGAUUCCUGGGCCAUCUGAGGGUUUGCAUAAUUUAAGGAGUAUAAGAACAUGUGUUCAACAAUUUUGAUCAAGGCAAUAGAUUGAGAACAGCUAGGACCUAGAUACAGAAUAAAAAACCAAGGCUCCCGAAGUUAUUUAUAAUACCCUUGUUAAUGCUUUGAACGUUCUCAGAGAAAUCUGGAAAUCCGAUACAAUCUACUUUAGAGCUCUGAAUUGUAUUUAUACAUUUCUACAGGAAAUACGUGUCUCAUAAAUGUAGGACAAUCUUAUUCUAAACUAGAUGUCCUCACUUAUGCUGUUCCUGUCACUUAAAAGGCUCAUUGUGUUCUCCUCUGUCUAUAAAACUGUCAACUCUCAAGGCACAGUUGAAUACCCCAGCCUUUCCCAAAACCUCUGAGUUCAAUCUUUGUAAAAAAAUAAAAUAAAAAAUGAUGGUUACUGGGUCUAAUCCAGAUAGUCUGAGUUUUGCCAUUUGCCCAUCAAGUGAC
ensembl:lncRNA